UGACCGGCUGGGGCGCAGGCAAGAGUCCCCGGAAGGCGGGGAGCUCCAAGACCCGCCCCGGAGAAGACUUCCUGGUCGACGGCAGCUUCGGUCAGGUCGGGUGAGCUGCGGCAGCGGCGGGGGACCCCGGAACGAUGUGGCGCGCGCGCGACGCCAUCCUGGAGGCGCUGGAGUACCUGACCGCGGAUGAGCUCAGGAGGUUCAAGAUGAAGCUGCUCUCGGUGCAGCUGCGCGACGGCUACGGGCGCAUCCCGCGGGGGUCGCUGCUGCCCAUGGACGCCGUGGAUCUCACCGACAAGAUUGUCAGCUUUUAUCUGGAGGAGUACGGCGCCGAGCUCACGGCGGUGGUACUGCGCGAAAUUGGUAUGCGGGAGACCGCCGAGCAGCUGCAGAUGCAGAUCAACGGCCCUGGAGCCGCACCAGCCGCACUAGCUGCAUCCGCCCGUCCAGCCCCUGUUCAGAUGGCAGUCAAGACAGCAUCGCACUUUGUGGAUCAGCACCGGGCAGCCCUCAUCACACGGGUCACGGCAGUGGAUGGGGUGCUGGAUGCCCUGUAUGGGAAGGUUCUGACCGAGGAGCAGUACCAGGCAGUGCUGGCAGAGGCCACCAAUCCGAUGAAGAUGAGAAAGCUUUUCAGCUUUACUCCUGCCUGGAACCUGACCUGCAAGGACCUGCUCCUUCAGGCCCUGAGGGACACCCAGCCCUUCCUAGUGUCUGACCUGGAGAAGAGCUGAGGUGUCUUCCCCAGCAGCGGUCCCACAUCCAGCCCCUGGCAGUUCCAGCUAACUCACUCUGAGUCUGAUUUUUUUAUACACAAUAUAUGAAAAACCAGUUUGUACUCGUGUGUGUUUUUCCUCCUUCCAGCCUGAAAGCACUUGAAGAAAGAACUAAGCUAAAAUCCCAAAGACUGCAGAUUCAGGUCAUGGCAUCAGGUUCCCCAGACCAUGCUUCCUCAAUCCUUUCUGCUUCAGUCACCAUGGACUCUUUCCUCCUCAUUCAUCAUCUGGUGGCCCCUCCAGUACUACCCCUGAGAGUAAAAGCCUAGAUUGCCUUGACAGGACUACUGUUGGAGUUAUGGACAUCAGACAAUUCUAGUGAUGACUCAAGAAAAUGUGGAGAGCUGUUACAACGGAGAUGGCGCAGAUGGCAGUGAGAAGCAACAUCACAGAAACGCAGCAGCAGGGAAAACAGCAGCAGCAGAACCAGGAGACCUGUGCUAGAUGGUUCAGGAGCUGACCCAUGGAGUGAGAGCUGAGUGCCCUUACUGGUGGAGUGGGUACCUCCAAGCACUUAUGGUUAGAGCUACAGAGUUCUGGAACACUCACCGCAGCAGGGCGGACACAGGCGGUAAGGCCCGAGGGGCCAAGAAGCCAUGGAACCAGGAAGCAGAAGCCGAAGAAACAAGGAACACAGGAAACAGAGCUGCCUCAGUCUCAAAGAGUAGGGCCACAACUUCUGGGGUCUCAAAGGGUAGAGUCACCACUCAGAUUGACUAGAAUGGGGCCACCCAAAUUCGAGAGGACAGAGUUACCAUUUCAGUGGGCCUGGAAGACGGACUGAAGCCCAAGGUCAAGGGGCCUUCACUCACAAUCUGAAGAGUGUGGCCAACUCCUAGAGUCUGGAGGGCAGGGCCAUUGUCUUAAAUGGUCUCAAGAGAACAGAGGAUUAUUUUUAAGCCUUGAGAGCUAAUGUAGAGUGUUCUGCUGACUUGCUUGGUGCCUGUGAUUUAGGAAAUAAUAUUGGAAUCAUUAUUCCCUGUCCUAAAAUGUGACCCAGCUGAAGCUGGACUUACAAGGACACAUCAACUGGGACCUGAGGUAUAAAUAGCUAAGAUAAUCUUGUAAAAUAUCUUUAGGGAAACUUUCACAUAAACCAAACAAACAGAACACAAAAACUUUCCACUCCUAUCUUUUUCUAUUAGCAUUUAGUGAAUAGAAAAUUUGUUGGACCGAUGAGGGCCCUCCUGUCAUUAUUGAAACCUGUACCAAUUAUCAAGACAAUUCAAAAUGUCGGAUCAGUUUCUAGCCUGUGAAAAGGUGAAGCUUUCAGUGGUUUUGCCCAUUUGUAACAUUAAUAUACAUCCAUUUUCCCAUUCUUAUUCUGUAAUUUUCCUGGACUCAGGCAGACAUGGCUUUCGCAGCAUGCUUGUCCGUUCUCCCACUUUUUAUCUAUAAUUUCCUUGGACUCGGGCAGACAUAAGCUCCAGCAGUAUGCUUGUCAGCUUCCCACUUUUGCCUUUUUCAAUACAUCCCAAAUAAAAUUUUUGCUUUACGAAACUUUGUGAUGUUUUUUCCCUACAAAUCCUGUUAUCCCUUCUUUCCCUUCAAUUUCUCCCAUUUGUAAUGGAAAUGUCUAGUUUGUGCCUGUUCCACCAUUGUACUUUAGAAGCAGAUAACUUAUAUUCUUGAUUUCUGAAGACAGUUAUUUUUUGGAUUUUGGACUUGGAGUUAAGACUGUUGCUAUGAUAUGAUGGAGUCAAUGUGUAUUAUAUGUGGCAAGAAUAUGCAUUUUUGAGUGGCCAAAGGGUGGUAUGUUACAGAUUAAAUUGUAUCCCCCAAAAAUGUUUGCCAGUAUUGUAUGA